rnacentral:lncRNA from 1 species
GUGUAUAUUACAUCACUCAUGUAUAGGAAAUAUAUAGGGAGUUUCUCUCUCCCAAAUUACAAUCUAAUUAGGUAGGAUACUAAUCAUGAGAUUCUAUAAUUAUUAAAUUAAUUGCAUAUAAUUGGGUACAAUAUCAUCAAAUAUUGCAUACAAUAAUUGCAUAUAAUUUGAUAAUUAUUAUUUCCUUAAUACUCCCCCUCAAGUUGGUAGGUGAAGAUCAAGAACCCCCAACUUGUGUCGUAGCGUCA